rnacentral:rRNA from 1 species
UACGAAGGGGGCUAGCGUUGCUCGGAAUCACUGGGCGUAAAGCGCACGUAGGCGGCUUUCUAAGUCAGGGGUGAAAUCCUGGAGCUCAACUCCAGAACUGCCUUUGAUACUGGCGAUCUUGAGUCCGGGAGAGGUGAGUGGAACUGCGAGUGUAGAGGUGAAAUGCGCAGAUAUCAGGAAGAACACCAAUGGCGAAGGCAGCUCUCUGGGACGGUACUGACGCUGAGACGCGAAAGCGUGGGGAGCGAACAGG